rnacentral:rRNA from 1 species
AUUGAACGCUGGCGGCAUGCCUUACACAUGCAAGUCGAACGGUAACGCGGGGCAACCUGGCGACGAGUGGCGAACGGGUGAGUAAUGUAUCGGAACGUGCCCAGUUGUGGGGGAUAACUGCUCGAAAGAGCAGCUAAUACCGCAUACGACCUGAGGGUGAAAGCGGGGGAUCGCAAGACCUCGCGCAAUUGGAGCGGCCGAUAUCAGAUUAGGUAGUUGGUGGGGUAAAGGCUCACCAAGCCAACGAUCUGUAGCUGGUCUGAGAGGACGACCAGGCACACUGGGACUGAGACACGGCACAGACUCCUACGGGAGGCAGCAGUGGGGAAUUUUGGACAAUGGACGCAAGUCUGAUCCAGCCAUGCCGCGUGCGGGAAGAAGGCCUUCGGGUUGUAAACCGCUUUUGUCAGGGAAGAAACGCUCUGGGUUAAUACCUCGGGGUAAUGACGGUACCUGAAGAAUAAGCACCGGCUAACUACGUGCCAGCCGCCGCCGUAAUAC